AUCUUUGCGCUUCAGGUAAUAACGUGGCUUGUGAGGUCAUAAUGAGCAUCAAUUGCUGGUUGAAAGCUAUUUCCAAACCUUCUCUUUGAGACCCUAAGACCACUAAGAAUUUUUGGAAGGGAUCAUACUCU
rfam:Zea mays cultivar B73 chromosome 6, whole genome shotgun sequence.